ensembl:lncRNA
CCAGCAUUGAGGGUCCCAAACAUGCUGGGCAGUUAUUUUGUGACUAAGACAAAGUCAACUGCUUUGUAGGAAGAGCAUCCGACACACCAACUGAGUGCCAGCCUUUCAUGCCUAAGCUCAUGAUGCUGACUAUCAGGCCACUGAUGGUACCAGGUAUGUGACUGGUAGUGGGCUUGCUGACGGAGAACAGAUGGAGAGGUUAUGGUCCUACCUUUAAAAAUGUGUGGGAAGAUCAUAAAAGAGAUGACACUGUCUCAUUGUGUUGACAGCCUCACUGAUAAAUACAAUUUGGGCCCAUAUUGACAUUUCUAAGACUGAAAACAGAAAGCUCCACUCCAUCCUGUCAAACGCCUUCUCAGCAUCCAGUGAAGCCUGCAGCACAGGCGUCUUCUGUGCGUUUACUUGAUCUAUAAUAUCAAAAAGACGGCGAAUGUUA